GUUCUAUUACCCUUCUGAACUAAAUUUUAGCAUAUUUUUAUUUAUCUUUUUUAGUUGACGUAACACUUUUGAUAUGAGUUUUUUUGAUGAAAAAAAUAUGCUAAAAUUGAGUUCAGGUAUAAUAAAACUCUUUUGAAGUUUUGAUCAUAGUUCGAGGGGUAUUGGAUGCUUAUCUCUUUUAAAAAUACAGAUAGUGUAGUUUAUUUCUUUGUGACUUAUUAUGUGUUAUUUGAAACGGAGAAUAGGAUAAAGUCUUCGUACACUCUAUACUCUCAAAACUCCUCUUGCAUGAAUACACUGGAUAGAAUCUUUCGAAAAUGACCUCUUUUGUCUAACGAGAUAGGGAUAAAGUCUACACACUUUAUACUCAUCAGACCCACUUGUGUGAACAAGUUGAGUAUGUUAACGUCGUUAUAUUUUAUUUUGUUAUAGCAGGAUCGGGGAGUUCACUUAAUGACUCUCUAUGGCAUGUAAUUUGACUUAUUUUUUUAGGUUACUGAUCUACUUUUAUAGAAGGCUACCUGUGGGAUUACGUUGAGUUUGGAAAUUAAUUAGUGUGUCUCAUGUUAACAUAUUGCAGUGUACAAGAAACAUUACCCACCAGCACUAGGAGAUGAAGUGUGGCGUCUUGAGAAAAUUGGAAAAGAUGGAAUUUUUCACAAAAAGCUCUCUCUAAAUGGCAUCAACACUGUACAAGAUUUCUUGAAGUUGGCCACCAUUGACACACCACAGCUUAGAAAUGUAAGCCUUUACUGAGACAAAAACAAAUCUCAAUUAAAAUGAAUUACAAAUAUAGUUACUUAAUUGUUUGUGGUUCGGUCCUUCCCCCGAUUCGUGCACCGAACUGUUCUUUUACUUAUUGUUUGUGAAUAUACAGAUGCUGGGAACUGGAAUGUCAGAAAAAAUGUGGGAAGUGACAUACAAGCAUGCAAAAACUUGUGAUAUGGGCUCAAAGUUAUACAUGGCUCGUGGGCCAAACUAUUUACUCAUACUCAAUCCAAUUUGUCAAGUGGUUAGGGCAAUUAUUGAUGGGCAAAUUUAUCCUAUUCGUGAAUUAACAGGAAUACAAAAGGUAAAAAAAAAUAAAAAUUGUGAUUUUGUAUGCACUUUGAGAGAGUUUGAUUCUUGAGAUAUUGUAAAUUUUGUACGUGAACAGUUCUUUUAAUAUCUAUACAACUGUAUUAACAGGCAUAUAUCCAGAAUUUGGUGAAGGACGCCUACGCCAAUUGGAGUUCCUUGGAAGAAGUUGAUGGUCUAGUGAAUGAGCCAGCACUACUAACUCAAGGUACUUCUUCGGGCCAGCUCGACUAAUUGAGUAAAUCUGUCUAUCUAAACUUGAUCAGAUGACAAGAAAUCACUCAGCGUUUUUAGCCAUUCCUAGAAUUUGAACCUGAAAACUCAUGAUUUUCCCGCGGUUGAGUGCUUAAUUUCCUUAACCUUACCUAAUAGUGUCACAUAUAGCAACCAUGCACAAAAAAAGUUUGCUUUGUUCUUUUUUGUACUCCUACUAAAGAUUAUAUAAAGAGGUCUUUUUCAAAAAACACAAGUUUUUGGAAUUACUAGUAUGAGUCAACGCUCUAAUUUGCUUCAAUAUUUUAGUACACUGUGCUGUUGGUUAUCAACUACCACUAAUACAUAAUAUAAUGAUUUUGUCAUAUGAACAGGAGAACCAACGAUGGAUCGGUAUCCAAAUGUUCAGCAACAACCGCUGAUACGAACCUAUCAGCGAAACACAAUUUUGACAGAUGCAUCUGAUGAACAAUUAGCUGAAUACAAUGACUGGAUUGUUAAUCCCAACUAUAUUUGCACUCUUGCUGAUAACAACACUGGUGGUUACUUUUCAGACGGAUCUUCUAAUAGACAAUUAUUGCGCUAAAUUUGCAUUGUCAGCAUAUAAAAUUAACUGAAUUCUUCUAAGAAGAUGAAGACACUGAAGGAAUGAAAUUUAUGCAUCAGGUGUACAUAGUGUGCAGGAACAAAUAUUUUGCCCAAAUAAGGGGCUGAAAAUUGUUGUAGAAAUUGCGCCACCCCUUUGUAAAAGAUGUGUGGACUGGCUAUAGUAUGUAGAGGUAUAUGUCUCAAGUUUUUUUUUUCUUUUUAAGAUUCAAACUUGAAUUAUCUAUUGUAGAGAGGUACUGUUCAUGUUAAUUGAAUGAAACAAAUUAAUGCAAAUGUUUACUUUGAUUAUGCAUCAAGCUAUGACUUAGUUUCUUUUACACCCUCUUCUUGUUGCUAAGGGAAUUCAUAGUCGCUGUCUUUUGAAUGCACAGGGUAAAUUCUGCUUUAUUGUACUUUAUGACUUGCAUUAUUGACAAUAAUUUUGUUAAGUCUUCAUUUUAUCCCAUGAAAAGUGGAUUCCAAAUUUGUGAUUGUGAUUUAAAAAGAAAUUUCAUACAUUAUUUUUCUGGUGAAUAAAUAAAGUAGCUGAACAAGAGAAAUAGUUAAGUAACAAUUUUGAUCGUACAAUUAAUGUCAAUGGUAGUGUGAUGAGGGUUGUUGGAUCGAAAAAUUGCCACUAACUAUAUAAUAUUUAUAAUUUUGUCUACUGAUAUCUUUAAAAAAAAUAAAAAUAAAUCAAGCUAAGCAUGGUGUUUCUUGUAUGUAUUGCACAUAUUUAAUUACUACUACAAAUUAAAUAAGUACAAUAAUUUUUUUGUCCCGAUUUAGAUAUUUUUGAUUUUGGAGGAAUUAUUACUUGAGAAGUUGGAGAGUUCUUUUUGUAUAUUGGUGAGUAAAGUUAAUAGAAUUCUUUAAAGAAAGAAAUAUUUCUUUGAUUGGAAAUUGCUGAAAUUAAAGCAACAUUUCUUUGAUUGGAAAUUGCUGAAAUUAAAGCAACAUCCUUAGAUAUACAUAAACUUUCGUUUAAUAUAUAUUCCUACUAGAUAGUGGUAACUACUCUCUUACCGUUUCAUAUUAGUACCUUUUUUGUAUGAAACUUCUAAUUUAUGAAAUAUAAUUUUUAUAUCUUAUUCCACUUCUUUAAUAUAUUUAUUUAAAUUUAGACAAUUAUUAUUGUACAACAUGUGAAUUUCUCUAAGAAAAAACUCACCAACCAUGAUAUAUAGAGAACACUCACUGAAGAUAUACAAUUUUAUGAACGAUUUAGUGAACGAUUCAUGUAUAUUUGACGACGUAACAUUCGUAUUCGAUAAUAUUUUAAUAGUGAUAUAAUCAUUACUCAAUAAUGUAGUUAUAAUGAUUAGUAACAUAUAUAUUUUGUUUGAUGAUUUAAACUCUUUUAACCAAGAAAAAAGAUUUAUUUUAGCGCACAAACUUAAUAGUCAUUCAUGAAUAUAUAUAUAUUGCAACUGUAUUGAUAAACGUUGAUAAACGUCUCCCAGUCAUUAAUUAUGAAAUUGCAUCAUUAUAUAUAAUGUUAUCAAAAGUGUGGGGGGAGGGGGGGAAAAUAAUUUUGCAUAAAAUUUGCUUUUAAAAUAAAAAUUAAUAGAUAUAUAAACAGUAAAUUCUAAUAUUAUAUUAACAAUAUAUAUAUAUUAAAAAUGAAUCAAAAAAUAUAUAUGUUAAUUUGAAUUUGAAUUAUUUUAGAAAUAAAAAUUAAUAAUACUAACAACUUUAAGGUUAUUUCAGAUAUUUUGACCAAAAAAAUGCUUAACAACACUUGUUUACCAAACACAUCAAUAAUUUUUUUUUUUUUAGUUUCAGCACUUUUAUCCAAACACAUAACUGUUUAAUUUUAUUUUUAUAAUAAAUUUCAACACAUUUUAAAAGUCAUUUUCUUUCUACUUAUCCAAACGGGCUCAAAGUGGUUACAUCAGUCUGCCUUACAUCACUCGGGAGUCGAGAAUAUUUAAGCCUCUCUUGCCGCGCUAUUUCUUUCUUCAUUCCUCGAAACUUCAUUAAUUACCAAAUGUAAACCUUAAUAUACAUUUUAUAACCUAUGGUUUUAUUCUUUUAUUAUUAAACCAUCUUUUCCCAUUAAUUACAUACACUCAUUCCCUAUAUAUAGUUCCAUUCUUACCCAUUCCUCAUCAUCAUUUUCUUGUUUUGCACUGAAAAUUUCUUGAGCUUAUCACACUUCACUCCUCAAAAAUGGCAGCUAAACGAUUCUUUGAUGACUCCGACCCCGACCCGAACCAACGGAAUAACAAACGGAUAAAAUCUACCGCUACUAGACCUUCUUUCGCUUCGUAUGUCACUACUUUUUUAAAAUAUCACUUAAUUCAUGUCGAUAUAUAUAUAGCGUACCUAUUUAAAUUUCAAAAUUGUGUGACUUGUUGCUGUUUGUUUGUUUGUUAUUAUUUGCAGUGUCAUUAAAGAAGUGGUUAUGGUGAAUUUCCUAGACAAUGUCUCUUCCGCCUUGGAACCCAUGCUCCGUCGAGUGGUAUGACCUUUAAUAUUUGAAUAAAUUUUGCGUAUGAUCACUGAACCUUAUCGUUUUAUAUCAACAAUUAAUUUUGGUACGUGCAUUUAGCAGGUUAAUGAAGAGGUGGAAAAAGGACUGAGGCGUUAUUCAUGCCGUACAAUAAGUAGAUCUCCUUCACUGCGAAUCAAAGCAUUAGAGCCGUCAAUUCUCCGUCUCAUCUUCAACAAAAAUCUCCAUCUUACAAUCUUCACCGGCAGCAAAAUCACCGGCGUCGAUGGACGGAAUCUCCAAAUUCUACUGGUGGAUACAAGCGGCGAAGGCAUGGUUCCGACGACUUUACCGUAUCCUAUAAAAGUAGAAAUCGUCGUACUCGACGGAGAUUUCCCUUCUGAAACGAAUUGGUCACGUGAUGAAUUCGACAAAAAUAUCGUUAAGGAGAGAACUGGAAAGAGGCCAUUGCUUACCGGUGAACUCAAUUUCACGAUGCGUGACGGCGUCGCUACCGUUGGGGAAAUCGAAUUCACUGAUAAUUCGAGCUGGAUUAGGUGCCGGAAAUUCAGAAUUGGUGCAAAAGUGGUUCAAACUGGGAAUAAUCAAAAUACUGUUCGAAUUACAGAAGCCAUUACUCAAGCUUUUAUGGUUAAAGAUCACCGCGGAGAAUGUAAGCAAUCUCUUUUUAUUAUCACAUAAUUGAAAUUUCGAGAUUUAAACUUUGAAUAUGGACAUAAAAACUUUUUAAUUUUUUUUUUGUAUAAAUAAAAUACAUAUAUUUUAAAGGAAUUGACUGUUAAAACAGCGGAGAGAGUAAGCAAUUUCAAUUUUUUUCUCUUUUUGUAGUCAAAGCUAAUUUUUCUAACUUAACAAGCAUCCAUGACUCAUUAUUCUGAUUUCUAGCCUCAGAAUUUCUUAAAUUACAAAAGGACCUAAGUUAUAUAAUACUAGAUAGUUUUAGUUGUUUUUAAAAAAUAGAGGUACUGUAGUUUAUUCUGUCGUGACUUAUUAUGUGUUGUUUUAGUUGAUAAAGUCUUCGUACACUCCGUACCCUCAGAACGCCACCUAUUUGAAUACACUAGAUAGAAUCUUUUGAAAACAACCUCUUAUUAUGUGUUAUUUGAGUCCGAGAAUAGGAUAAAGUCUUUGUACACUCUAUACUCUCAAAACGCCGCUUGUGUGAAUACAGUGGGUAGAAUCUUUCCUAAACCUCUUAUUAUGUGUUAUUUGAGUCUGAGCAUAGAAUAAAGUCUCUGUACACUCUAUACUCUCAAAAAGCCACCUGUGUGAAUACACUGGGUAGAAUCUUUCAAAAACAACCUCUUAUUAUGUGUUAUUUGAGUCCGAGAAUAGGAUAAAGUCUUUGUACACUCAAUACUCUCAAAAUGCCACCCGUUUGAAUACACUGGAUAGAAUUUUUCGAAAACAAUCUCUUUUAUCUAACUAGACAAGAAUAAAGUCUACACACUUUAUACUCUUUAGACCCACCCAUGUGAAUAUGUUGAGUAUGUUACUGUUGUUAUAUUUUAUUUUGUUGUAGCGGGGUCGAGGAGUUCACUUAGUGGCUCUCAUCUGAUUGAGAUACAGUAUGUUAUAGCAUGUAAUUUGACUUAUUUUUUUAAGGUUACUGAUCUACUUUUAUAGAAGGCUACCUGUGGGAUUACGUUGAGUUUGGAAAUUAAUUAGUGUGUCUCAUGUUAACAUAUUGCAGUGUACAAGAAACAUUACCCACCAGCACUAGGAGAUGAAGUGUGGCGUCUUGAGAAAAUUGGAAAAGAUGGAAUUUUU
rnacentral:lncRNA from 1 species